GUCGAACGAUGAACCUCCUUCGGGAGGGGAUUAGUGGCGAACGGGUGAGUAACACGUGGGCAAUCUGCCCUGCACUCUGGGACAAGCCCUGGAAACGGGGUCUAAUACCGGAUACUGAUCAUCUUGGGCAUCCUUGGUGAUCGAAAGCUCCGGCGGUGCAGGAUGAGCCCGCGGCCUAUCAGCUUGUUGGUGAGGUAAUGGCUCACCAAGGCGACGACGGGUAGCCGGCCUGAGAGGGCGACCGGCCACACUGGGACUGAGACACGGCCCAGACUCCUACGGGAGGCAGCAGUGGGGAAUAUUGCACAAUGGGCGAAAGCCUGAUGCAGCGACGCCGCGUGAGGGAUGACGGCCUUCGGGUUGUAAACCUCUUUCAGCAGGGAAGAAGCGAAAGUGACGGUACCUGCAGAAGAAGCGCCGGCUAACUACGUGCCAGCAGCCGCGGUAAUACGUAGGGCGCGAGCGUUGUCCGGAAUUAUUGGGCGUAAAGAGCUCGUAGGCGGCUUGUCGCGUCGGUUGUGAAAGCCCGGGGCUUAACUCCGGGUCUGCAGUCGAUACGGGCAGGCUAGAGUUCGGUAGGGGAGAUCGGAAUUCCUGGUGUAGCGGUGAAAUGCGCAGAUAUCAGGAGGAACACCGGUGGCGAAGGCGGAUCUCUGGGCCGAUACUGACGCUGAGGAGCGAAAGCGUGGGGAGCGAACAG
rnacentral:rRNA from 1 species